CAUUCUUUUCCAGAUGGUUAAAUCAGGUUGUUCAGGCUACUUGGAGGGCUUAGUUACAGCAUACUCUGCCAUUUUGACUACCCUUGUUUCUGAUGAUCAGUCAGUUAGUCUUCCACUACUGUACGUUAUACCUCUGAAACUCCAACAGACCUCUAAACAUGUGCAUGCAUCAUUUGUAAAAUGCUCAGAUAUCACCAUCCGCUAUCCACACAUGGAUUUCUCCAGUAAACCUGCCAACAAGUUCAUGGUGAACCACAGCAGAGCUUGGCAACCGUCACACCCAUUAUUCUGGUAGAGCACUGCACUGUGAAUCCAUGGAUCGCUUGCUGCUUAGUACCAGUGGUGGUUUUUUCCAACUAUAUGAACUGACAUCAGGAGGAUUCCCAGAGGUCUGGUUCCACUUACUUACACAGCCCUGUCUUUAGGGUGGAAUUUGAACCAAACAAUGUGGAACUGUGCCAUUUCAGUAGCACUAUGAGGCUGGCUCAUUAAUAUGAACCAGGAGCCAUGGGAGGAGGUCAUACCAGUUGCCAUGCAAAGCCAGUCAUGUGAGAGGAAGCAUUAUAAUUUUUUUCCCAAUGCUGGCAGGCAUUUUACUCGUAAGUCAGUCAAGCAAAUAGUGGUUUUGGGAGAUAACCAUUUUUAGCCUAUUAUAAGAAAAAGUUGACUGUUGAUUGCCUAUAACACCACCAGUCACUUCUUGGGAAAGAAGAGACUAAAUGCAAGCAUUAAAUACUAAUCUCCCUAAGAUGAAUACCAAAUAUUAUCUAAAUAACUACAUUUAUUUUUCUAAAUUUUGUGUUGAUAGCUAUUGACCUUGUUAAUGAAUUUUGAUGCCUCUACAUCAUCCAUGAUUGGUUGUGUCUGAUACUGGGUGGGAGCACAUGGAAGGCCCUUUAUAAAAGGAAUGGAUAAUAAUCAUGGAAACUGAAAUCAUGUCAGUGUGUUGGUUCAUAGUUUGUUUUCCUAAUUCCUAACACUAGAAAAUCUGCAUUUUUAUUCAUGGAAAUGUAUUAUUUCAAUUUUAUUGAUGACUUGUAUAAAAUUGAACUA